rnacentral:piRNA from 1 species
UGUAUGUCUGCACAGCUGUGCACAUGGGUGU